rnacentral:misc_RNA from 1 species
GUGAAUCAUCGAAUCUUUGAACGCAAAUUGCACUCCUCUCGGAGAGUAUGCCUGUUUCAGGGUCAGCAUAAAAAAAAUCGACAUAGUCGCUGUUUCGCGGUCAUAUUCGGCGGAAAUUGGGUUAUCUUAAAACUUUUGGUUUUAAGUGGCUUAAAUUAUUCUUUACGAUUCAACGAACGUUUCUAAGAUUUACUUACACGUUUAAGGUAUAGAUCUUUAUUAGAUGUGGCUGUUGCAUUUGAUCACGUCUAAAUAUAU